rnacentral:tRNA from 2 species
GGGGCCGUAGCUCAGAUGGGAGAGCGCCGCAAUCGCACUGCGGAGGUCAAGGGUUCGAUUCCCUUCGGCUCCA